rnacentral:rRNA from 1 species
GUCCACGCCCUAAACGAUGCAUGCUAGCUGUUAUCAGUAUCGACCCUGAUAGUAGCGAAGCUAACGCGUUAAGCAUGCCGCCUGGGGAGUACGAACGCAAGUUUAAAACUCAAAGGAAUUGACGGGGACCCCGCACAAGCGGUGGAGCGUGUUGUUUAAUUCGAUGGUAAGCGAAGAACCUUACCAGGGUUUGACAUCUCUGGAAUCUCUCCGAAAGGAGAUAGUGCCUUCGGGAACCAGAUGACAGGUGUUGCAUGGCCGUCGU